GAUGAACGCUGGCGGCGUGCCUAAUACAUGCAAGCCGAACGCUUCACUUCGGUGAAGAGUGGCGAACGGGUGAGUAAUACAUAAGUAACCUGGCAUCUACAGGGGGAUAACUGAUGGAAACGUCAGCUAAGACCGCAUAGGUGUAGAGAUCGCAUGAACUCUAUAUGAAAAGUGCUACGGGACUGGUAGAUGAUGGACUUAUGGCGCAUUAGCUUGUUGGUAGGGUAACGGCCUACCAAGGCGACGAUGCGUAGCCGACCUGAGAGGGUGACCGGCCACACUGGGACUGAGACACGGCCCAGACUCCUACGGGAGGCAGCAGUAGGGAAUUUUCGGCAAUGGGGGAAACCCUGACCGAGCAACGCCGCGUGAAGGAAGAAGUAAUUCGUUAUGUAAACUUCUGUCAUAGAGGAAGAAAGGUGGAUAUAGGGAAUGAUAUCCAAGUGACGGUACUCUAUAAGAAAGCCACGGCUAACUACGUG
rnacentral:rRNA from 1 species